rnacentral:rRNA from 1 species
GACGAACGCUGGCGGCGUGCUUAACACAUGCAAGUCGAACGGAAAGGCCCUGCUUUUGUGGGGUGCUCGAGUGGCGAACGGGUGAGUAACACGUGAGUAACCUGCCCUUGACUUUGGGAUAACUUCAGGAAACUGGGGCUAAUACCGGAUAGGAGCUCCUGAUGCAUGGUGGGGGUUGGAAAAUUUCGGCGGUUGGGGAUGGACUCGCGGCUUAUCAGCUUGUUGGUGGGGUAGUGGCUUACAAAGGCUUUGACGGGUAGCCGGCCUGAGAGGCUGACCGGCCACAUUGGGCCUGAGAUACGGCCCAGACUCCUACGGGAGGCAGCAGUGGGGAAUAUUGCACAAUGGGCGGAAGCCUGAUGCAGCAACGCCGCGUGCGGGAUGCCGGCCUUCGGGUUGUAAACCGCUUUCGCCUGUGACGAAGCGUGAGUGACGGUAAUGGGUAAAGAAGCACCGGCUAACUACGUG